GAAGGUGGCCUGUGAGGGUUGCUGGAGGUAUCAGAAGUGCGAAUGCUGACAUAAGUAACGAUAAAGCGGGUGAAAAGCCCGCUCGCCGGAAGACCAAGGGUUCCUGUCCAACGUUAAUCGGGGCAGGGUGAGUCGACCCCUAAGGCGAGGCCGAAAGGCGUAGUCGAUGGGAAACGGGUUAAUAUUCCCGUACUUGGUGUUACUGCGAAGGGGGGACGGAGAAGGCUAUGUUGGCCGGGCGACGGUUGUCCCGGUUUAAGCGUGUAGGUGUGUGUUCCAGGUAAAUCCGGUUCACUUUAACACUGAGGCGUGACGACGAGGCACUACGGUGCUGAAGCAACAAAUGCCCUGCUUCCAGGAAAAGCCUCUAAGCAUCAGGUAACACGAAAUCGUACCCCAAACCGACACAGGUGGUCAGGUAGAGAAUACCAAGGCGCUUGAGAGAACUCGGGUGAAGGAACUAGGCAAAAUGGUGCCGUAACUUCGGGAGAAGGCACGCUGACAUGUAGGUGAAGUGAUUUACUCAUGGAGCUGAAGUCAGUCGAAGAUACCAGCUGGCUGCAACUGUUUAUUAAAAACACAGCACUGUGCAAACACGAAAGUGGACGUAUACGGUGUGACGCCUGCCCGGUGCCGGAAGGUUAAUUGAUGGGGUCAGCGCAAGCGAAGCUCCUGAUCGAAGCCCCGGUAAACGGCGGCCGUAACUAUAACGGUCCUAAGGUAGCGAAAUUCCUUGUCGGGUAAGUUCCGACCUGCACGAAUGGCGUAAUGAUGGCCAGGCUGUCUCCACCCGAGACUCAGUGAAAUUGAACUCGCUGUGAAGAUGCAGUGUACCCGCGGCAAGACGGAAAGACCCCGUGAACCUUUACUAUAGCUUGACACUGAACAUUGAGCCUUGAUGUGUAGGAUAGGUGGGAGGCUUUGAAGUGUGGACGCCAGUCUGCAUGGAGCCGACCUUGAAAUACCACCCUUUAAUGUUUGAUGUUCUAACGUGGACCCGUAAUCCGGGUUGCGGACAGUGUCUGGUGGGUAGUUUGACUGGGGCGGUCUCCUCCUAAAGAGUAACGGAGGAGCACGAAGGUUGGCUAAUCCUGGUCGGACAUCAGGAGGUUAGUGCAAUGGCAUAAGCCAGCUUGACUGCGAGCGUGACGGCGCGAGCAGGUGCGAAAGCAGGUCAUAGUGAUCCGGUGGUUCUGAAUGGAAGGGCCAUCGCUCAACGGAUAAAAGGUACUCCGGGGAUAACAGGCUGAUACCGCCCAAGAGUUCAUAUCGACGGCGGUGUUUGGCACCUCGAUGUCGGCUCAUCACAUCCUGGGGCUGAAGUAGGUCCCAAGGGUAUGGCUGUUCGCCAUUUAAAGUGGUACGCGAGCUGGGUUUAGAACGUCGUGAGACAGUUCGGUCCCUAUCUGCCGUGGGCGCUGGAGAACUGAGGGGGGCUGCUCCUAGUACGAGAGGACCGGAGUGGACGCAUCACUGGUGUUCGGGUUGUCAUGCCAAUGGCACUGCCCGGUAGCUAAAUGCGGAAGAGAUAAGUGCUGAAAGCAUCUAAGCACGAAACUUGCCCCGAGAUGAGUUCUCCCUGAGACUU
rnacentral:rRNA from 1 species